ACCUCAUCAAUCUGGAACCCGAAUGGAGCUUUCCCUAAAGGUUGCCUCCAAACGCAUUCCUGAGGAGCACUGACUGGUGACCAGAGCGGCUGGCCGGAAAAAAGCUGUGCAGCACAGCAACAGCGUUAACAGCUCUUCACCAGGACAUGCAGUAAGGGGCUCACCUCCCCCCACAGCAGAGAAGGUGUUCUGAAAGCAAGUAAGAAAUCGGUUUCAAUUACUCCUGAACUUGACAAAAACUUUGCACCUGAAAAUCUGCACUAAACAACAGGCUGCCCCAGCUACCAUUCUCACUGUAUUCUUUCUCAAGGUCUUACAACUUGGACAAACGUCAAGUCACACAACAUGGCUCUGACAAUAUUAGCUUACCACAGUGAUCGUGAGUUUUCAUUUUGCAGACCAGCAGCCCUUCAUCAGAAGCACAGGAACCAAACACCAUUUUGGGGACUCAGCAGUAGCAGUUUUUUUCUUUGGCGCAUUAAACGGAGAAGUUUUAGAUGCUCAUGGAACCACAGAACAACGCCAAGUGCUUUAACUUGCUGGAUAAGGGGAUCACAGCAAAGGGUUAUGUGAUUUGUUUAGCUGCAUGUGGGUAACUGAAAGAGAUUGUGUGGAAUAUGUGAAGAGAAAUCAGAAGCUAACAUGCCUUGAAACGGCAGAAGAAGCAAAAUGCAGAUUUACACAGGAAAUUACAGUUUCUCUGUAAGUGGCCCAGCUGCACAUUCAAACUUUGUGGCAAUCCUGUCCCACCUUGCUCUUGAUUCCUGCUGACAGCAACUCACUCUCUUUCCUCAAAGAACGAACCUCGGACGGAAGCACCUUGGCAGUACUGAUGAAAAACUCGGCACUCAUUUUGGCAGGUUCCAUAGCCAUAUGUUCAUGUGCAGGCCUCGACCAGCUCAAGCAAGGGAAUUAAAACAGCAGCUAAGAUAAGAACAGGACAGGCCAGCUUAAUUUCCCCAGGAGGUGGCUACACUGGAUCCAGAACACUAAGACAACCAAGGACCACUUCUCCCAAAGGAGAAACAAUCGUAGUGGACUGCAAAACGUUGCCUUACAGGGAAGCCAUGACUCACAGAAAUUACUGAGUUCUGGAAGGAGUAGACAGACAUUCAGCUCUAUGUGAACCAUGCUUCCUCCCCUGGAAAUCUUGUCCCAUAUGGGUGUAGGAGGUGUGCAUCUUCCCACAGUGUGAGACAGGUUAUACAUAAAUGGGUGCAACUGUAAAUUAGGUUCUCCAAUCAUUCAAGUCUACAAGGAAAUAUGACACAAAGCAAUAAUAUAAACUGGUGAUACAAACAGAUAGCCCAGAUCAAUGCUUAGAACAGUGCUUAAUUUAACUCCAGUGUUCACACACAAAGCUGAAAAAAAGCUCUCCAUUUAGCCUGUGGCCAAAACUUCAUUGCUGCCAGUUUCUGGUCAGAAACAAAUGUCUUGAACUACCUUUUGCUUUCAGCUAAAGAAGAA